GCCGGGCGCGGUGGCUCACGCCUGUAAUCCCAGCACUUUGGGAGGCCGAGGCGAGUGGAUCACGAGGUCAGGAGAUCGAGACCAUCCUGGCUAACACGGUGAAACCCCGUCUCUACUAAAAAUACUAAAAAAUUAGCCGGGCGUGGUGGCGGGCGCCUGUAGUCCCAGCUACUCGGGAGGCUGAGGCAGGAGAAUGGCGUGAACCCAGGAGGCGGAGCUUGCGGUGAGCCUGGCUAAUUUUUUGUAUUUUUAGUAGAGGCGGGGUUUCACUGUGUUAGCCAGGAUGGUCUUGAUAUCCUGACCUCGUGAUCUGCCCACCUCGG
rfam:Gorilla gorilla gorilla genomic chromosome, chr9, whole genome shotgun sequence